CAUUGUGACCCCCACUCCUGCCCGCCAGACAACAACCCCGUUUGACUGUAAUUUUCGUUUACCUACCCAAAUCUUAUAAAACAGCCCCACCCCUAUCUCCCUUCACUGACUCUCUUUUCAGACUCAGCCCACCUGCACCCAGGUGAAAUAAACAGCUUUAUUGCUCACACAAAGCCUGUUUGGUGGUCUCUUCACACGGACGCGCAUGAAAUUUGGUACCGUGACUUGGAUCGGGGGACCUCCCUUGGGAGAUCAAUACCCAGUCCUCCUGCUCUUUGCUCUGUGAGAAAGAUCCCCCUACGACCUCAGGUCCUCAGACCAACCAGCCCAAGAAACAUCUCGCCAAUUUCAAAUCCGGUAAGUGGCCUCUUUUUACUCUGUUCUCCAACCUCCCUCACUAUGCCUCAGCCUCUUUCUCCUUUCAAUCUUGGCACCACACUUCAAUCUCUCCCUUCUUUUAAUUUCAAUUCCCUUUAUUUUCUGGUAGAGACAAAGGAGACAUGUUUUAUCUGUGGACCCAAAACUCCGGCCCCGGUCAUGGACUGCAAAGGCAGCCUUCCCUUGGUGUUUAAUCAUUGCAGGGACCCCUCUGAUUAUUCACCCAGGUUUCAGAGGUGUCAGACCACGCAGGGAUGCCUGCCUUCGUCAUUCAGCCUUAGCGGCAAGUCCUGCUUUUCUGGGGUAGGGUCAAGUACCCCAACACCUUCUCUCCAUGUCUCUACCCCUUCUCUGCCUUUCUGAGGGGCAAGAAACCACAAACCCCUUCUCCUUCACCCUGAGCGGCAAGUCCCGCUUUUCUGGGGGAGGGACAAGUACCCCAACCUCCUAUCUCUGUGCCCUGAUCCCUUAUUUCCACUCCCCGACAUCUUAUAUCUCUGAGCCCCGAUCUCCUAUUUCCACAGCCCAACCUCUUAUAUCUCUGCGCCCCGAUCCCGUUUCUGCGCCCCGACCUCUUAUAUCUCUGCACCCUGAUCCCUUAUUUCUGCACCCCAACCUCUUAUAUCUCUGCACCCCGAUCCCUUAUUUCCGUGCCCCAUCUUAUAUCUCUGCACCCCAUCCCUUAUUUCUGCUCCCCAACCUCUUAUAUCUCUGCACCCUGAUCCCUUAUUUCCACACCUCAACCUCGUAUCUCUGCGCCCCGACCCCUUCUCUGCUUUUCUGGAGGGCAAGAACCCCCCACCCCUUCUCCAUGUCUCUACUCUCUUUUCUCUGGGCUUGCCUCCUUCACUAUGAGCAAGCUUCCACCUUCCAUUCCUCCUUCUUCUCCCUAGCCUGUGUUCUAAGAACUUAAAAACCUCUUCAACUCUCACCUGAUCUAAAAUCUAAGCAUCUUAUUUUCUUCUGCAAUGCCACUUGACUCCAAUACAAACUGGACAGUAGUUCCAAAUAGCUGGAAAACGGCACUUUCAAUUUUUCCAUCCUGCAAGAUCUAAAUAAUUCUUGUCAUAAAAUAGGCAAAUGGUCUGAGGUGCCUGACAUCCAGGCAUUCUUUUACACAUCGGUCCCUCUCUAGUCUCUCUUCCCAAGGCAACUCAUCCCAAAUCCUCCUUCUUUCCCUCCCGCCUGUCCCCUCAGUCCCAACCCCAAGUGUCACUGAGUCUUUCUAAUCUUCCUUUUCUACAGAUCCAUCUGACGUCUCCCCUCCUCCCCAGGCUGCUUCUUGCCAGGCCAAGCUAGGUCCCAAUUCUUCCUCAGCCUCGGCUCCUCCACCCUAUAAUCCUUUUAUCACCUCCCCUCCUCACACCUGGUCUGGUUUACAGUUUCAUUCCAUGACUAACCCUCCCCCACUUGCCCAGCAAUUUACCCUUAAAAAGCUGGCUGGAGCUAAAGGCAUAAUCAAGGUUAAUGUUCCUUUUUCUUUAUCCCAAAUCAGAUAGCGUUUAGGCUCUUUUUCAUCAAAUAUAAAAAUCCAGCCCAGUUCAUGACUCGUUUGACAGCAACCCUGAGACGCUUUACAGCCCUAGACCCUAAAAGGUCAAAAGGCCGUCUUAUUCACAAAAUACAAUUUAUUACCCAAUCUGCUCCCGACAUUAAAUAAAACAAAAAUUAAAUUCCGGCCCUCAAACCCCAGAACAGGAUUUAAUUAACCUUGCCUUCAAGGUGUACAAUAAUAGAAAAAAGUUGCAAUUCCUUGCCUCCACUGUGAGACAAACCCCAGCCACAUCUCCAGCACACAAGAACUUCCAAACGCCUGAACCGCAGCAGCCAGGCAUUCCUCCAGAACCUCCCCCCCCAGGAGCUUGCUACAAGUGCCAGAAAUCUGGCCACCAGGCCAAGGAAUGCCUGCAGCCUGGGAUUCCUCCUAAGCCAUGUCCCAUCUGUGCAGGACCCCACUGGAAAUCGCACUGUCCAACUCACCUGGCAGCCAGUCCCAGAGCCCCUGGAACUCUGGCCCAAGGCUCUCUGACUCCUUCCCAGAUCUUCUUGGCUUAGUGGCUGAAGACUGACGCUGCCCAAUAGCCUCAGAAGCCCCCUAGACCAUCACGGAUGCCGAGCUUCAGAUAACUCUCACAGUAGAAGAUUCAGCCCAUCUGCACCCAGGUGAAAUAAACAGCUUUAUUGAUCACACAAA